GAUGAACGCUGGCGGCGUGCUUAACACAUGCAAGUCGAACGAUGAAGCCCAGCUUGCUGGGUGGAUUAGUGGCGAACGGGUGAGUAACGCGUGAGUAACCUGCCCUUAACUCUGGGAUAAGCCUGGGAAACUGGGUCUAAUACCGGAUAGGAGCGUCCACCGCAUGGUGGGUGUUGGAAAGAUUUAUCGGUUUUGGAUGGACUCGCGGCCUAUCAGCUUGUUGGUGAGGUAAUGGCUCACCAAGGCGACGACGGGUAGCCGGCCUGAGAGGGUGACCGGCCACACUGGGACUGAGACACGGCCCAGACUCCUACGGGAGGCAGCAGUGGGGAAUAUUGAACAAUGGGCGCAAGCCUGAUGCAGCGACGCCGCGUGAGGGAUGACGGCCUUCGGGUUGUAAACCUCUUUCAGUAGGGAAGAAGCGAAAGUGACGGUACCUGCAGAAGAAGCACCGGCUAACUACGUG
rnacentral:rRNA from 1 species